rnacentral:lncRNA from 10 species
GUCUUCUGCCCCUUCCUCCUCUCAAAGCUGAGUGGGAAGGGGCUUCACACAAAGAUCAGGAAAGCUUGACGUAUGGCUAGUGAACUUUAGGAGGGAGAGGUACUGGGAUGUGGCUCAACCAGAGAAAAUCCCAGGUCAAAUGAAGUCAGACAGCAAAGGUGAUUGAAUUUUCAAUCUUGAAAAUACAUCAUGGAACCUGAUUUUCCAAAGAAGUGAUUCAAACUGAACAGCAAGGAAGCUUAACUUAUUGCUGCCUGUCUCAGAACUCAAGCUCACACUUCUCUUUUCUUCAAAUACUCGCCUGUUUCUAACAAUCUGCCCACUGCUCUGGGUCCCGAUGCCUCGACGCUGCAUCUUGCUGCCCCGGUACUCUCUUUAACCUCAGGAGAAGAAUCCCCACCUCGUGUCACUAGAAUGUGGAACAGAGAAGAAGGAAGAGCUGACAUAGUACAGACCAAGAAGAUUUUAAAAACAAACAAACAAACAAACAAACAAAACCACAUCCAGUUCCAUCAGCCACACCUGGCAGUAAAGCCCUCAGUGGCCAACUCAGCAGUCCCACUUUGAUUCUUCUUAGACGGCAGCAUCUUCUUAGAUAAUGCUGUGCCUGAUGCACAGUAGAAGCUUAAUAAAUACUAUGACAAAUUAAUGUCUUUACUGAUUAUAUAUAGUUUUCUGGGUGAGAGCAAUGAAGAUAAUCCUAUGUCUUCCUUAAUCCAGGCAACAGACAGCUUUCUGUUUAAAAUUUGUGUUCUGGAUAAUCAGGGUAUACAGAAUGCUGAUGUAUUACCAUAGUAUCAAACUACAAUAAGGCAAUGUUAAUCUAGCAAUAUAUAUAAUGAGAAUAUUGGCUACAACAGAAAAACAGGGGCUUGUCUGGUCUGUAUCUCUCAAGUGUGAGGAAGCAGUUUAGUCAAACAAGUUGAAAAAUAAAACAAAAUUUAAAAAGGAUAAAAAAAAACCCUGGUUCUUUGUUUUCCAGGGGAGACCAUCUCUAUACUGAACUAAAUUUAACUUCCCUAUUGUGUAUGAUCGCCCUCCAAUAUGGGGCUACUCUGCCCAGAGGGACGACUUUGCCCGUGAUGAGGAUUAAUCCCACUCUUGACCCACACAGAUGGUUUUAGUGACUGUAUCUUUUGUGCAGCUCCAUUUCUUCUCAAAAUGUGCAGAUGAGAUGUUUCUUCCAGCCUCUGGAUAUUGAGGUGCCUGGGAUACCUGAGUGAGGGAAGAAAGGAGCACCAAGAAGUGGCAGCUGAAGCCAGAUUGCACAAGAGAGAAAGGAAGACCAUCCAAGGCAGACAGAAAAACUCAAGAGAGCAGCCGUCUGGGGCUAUUUAUCACAUGAACAAAGUCAGAAGCCUUUCAAUCUUCCUCCUGUAUUACAUCAGGGUUCAUUUUUAAAAGAUACGCAACUUGGUGAUCACAAGUUAUUAAAAAAAAGUAGAAGAGAUGGAAGUGUGGGUGUCAUGCGUUGUGAAAAAUUGUCCAUUUAAAAUGGAUACAAAAUGGAAGCCCAAUUUUAUUUAAUGACAGUAAACUUAUCUAGAAUGCUGCAUUCCCAUAGCCUAUCAGCUGAGAAUUAGUUGAUUGAACACCUUCUGCUUGUCUUUGUCAGGCCCAUAGCUACAUGAAGACUGGUCUCUGUCCUCAAGUUGCUUACAGUUUGCAGGUGCUACACCAAUGGGUAUCAUUUGUAUCUCACAUAGGGAACGUUUCACCCUGCAGGACAACGAGCCAGAGCCUUGCAUACCAGGGGCAGGCAUUAGACCACACCCGCUUUGACUGUUAGACUCAUCUGCAGUGCUUGUGCCACUAGUGAGAUGCGCCUAAUGGGGGAGUUCAUCCCCCACCUCACCCUGGUAAACAAAGCUCCAAAUUUGGAAGCAGCAGUGAAACUCCACAGAUUACUGAGGGCAAAAUUGCUGGGUCAUAUGGCACCAAGGAAAGGUCUUGUGCUGACACAGGGAGAAAGCUGUCAUUUACAAGCUGGGAGGAGACCUUCACCAGAAACUGAAUUUGCUACCACCUGGAUCAUGAACUUUUACUCUCCAAAACGGAAGGAGGUGAUGAAGAGAGAAAGAAAGGAUGGAAGGAAGGAGGAAGUGGACAAUGAGCCCAGAGCCCUCACCUGAGUUCCAAACAUUUAAGUCAAACUGCCAACUUCAUUCUCCAUUUGGACGAUUUCUCAACAUGUACAAAACCAAGUCCUGAUUUUUCCGUGACCCCAAAUCUGUUCUAUCUGAAGCCUCCCUAUCUCAGUUACUGAUCCUGGCUGAUGGAUGUAAUGAAGGCAUGAACUAUACUAGUUGAACAAGGAAAUGAACUUGAACCAAAUUGUGAAGUUCUCUGCAGUGAAAUAUUAAAGAUUAGCAAGCUAAACAGAGAAAAAGAUAACACUCAAGAAACUGCCUAUAUGUAAGAGAUUCCUUUGAGAACUUUCAAAUGGCUCCUUUCUACAAAAGACCUGAGAAUACUUAACCCCCCACCACUAGCACACUCAAAGCUCAAGGCAAAUGCAUUUUCAAGAUUGACAGGGUCUUGGACUCUGAAAGUCUUUGGACCCAAGAAAAAUCGUGUUAUCUAAGAGAGCAGUUAUUCUGACACAGACUGAUAUCAGGUGCCUGUGGCAUGAAACACGGAAGAGAAUAAUAGCAUCUACCUUAUAAGAAGACAUACUAUAUUCUGGACCACAUAUCUGAUAAUUCUUACAGCCCUUUAAAGAUAAUCAUAACUAGAAUAUUAUCUUAUUUUGUAGCUCAUAGAUGUCAAAAGACUAGCUCAUAAUUUUAUUGCGGAUACAUAGCAGAACCAAGAUUUGAACUCAGACCUGUCUCAUUCCACAACUCAUUUUCCUUGAAGUCAAUAGAUGCCACUGAUCUCUAAAUACCUACAAAAGGGGCUCGGAGGUGGAGAGGGGAUGUCUGAGGAGCCUUAGGACUACCACCCAAUGUUCUGUCUUUAGAUAGAGAUGCUAUCACCAAUCUCUCUUUCACACAUACUCCUCCUCUUCUCAUUUCUGUUCGUGUACUUGGUUCUCAGUGUAAGAUUUUGUUAGAAGAAAGAGGCAUGUUGGUAAAAUAAGAAAUAAUAUAUCAAAAAUAAAAUAAAAUUGUUUGAAAGUCU